rnacentral:rRNA from 1 species
UACGAAGGGGGCUAGCGUUGUUCGGAUUUACUGGGCGUAAAGGGCUCGUAGGCGGCCAACUAAGUCAGACGUGAAAUCCCUCAGCUUAACUGGGGAACUGCGUCUGAUACUGGAUGGCUUGGAUUCGGGAGAGGAAUGCGGAAUUCCAGGUGUAGCGGUGAAAUGCGUAGAUAUCUGGAGGAACACCGGUGGCGAAGGCGGCAUUCUGGACCGAUAUUGACGCUGAGGAGCGAAAGCCAGGGGAGCAAACGGG